rnacentral:rRNA from 1 species
AUUGAACGCUGGCGGCGUGCUUAACACAUGCAAGUCGAUCGGUAACGCGGGGGCAACCCUGGCGACGAGAGGCGGACGGGUGAGGAACGCUUGGGAAUCUGCCCUUCAGCGGGGGACAACCCGGGGAAACUCGGGCUAAUACCGCAUACGCUCUAUGGAGGAAAGCCGGGGACCGCAAGGCCUGGCACUGAAGGAUGAGCCCAAGCCGGAUUAGCUAGUUGGCGGGGUAACGGCCCACCAAGGCGACGAUCCGGAGCUGGUCUGAGAGGACGAUCAGCCACACUGGGACUGAGACACGGCCCAGACUCCUACGGGAGGCAGCAGGGGGGAAUAUUGGACAAUGGGGGAAACCCUGAUCCAGCGACGCCGCGUGGGUGAAGAAGGCCUGCGGGUUGUAAAGCCCUUUCGGUAGGGACGAAAGCUCUCGACCUAACACGUCGGGAGGAUGACUUAACCUACAAAAGAAGCACCGGCUAACUCUGUGCCAGCAGCCGCGGUAACAC